rnacentral:tRNA from 1 species
GGCGGCAUAGCUCAGCUGGCUAGAGCGUACGGUUCAUACCCGUAAGGUCACUGGUUCGAUCCCAGUUGCCGCUACCA